UAAUACGGAGGAUCCAAGCGUUAUCCGGAUUUAUUGGGUUUAAAGGGUGCGCAGGCGGAUGAAUAAGUCAGUGGUGAAAUUUUCUCGCUUAACGAGACGACUGCCAUUGAUACUGUUUGUCUAGAGUUUAGUUGACGUUGGCGGAAUAUGUCAUGUAGCGGUGAAAUGCUUAGAUAUGACAUAGAACACCGAUAGGGAAGCCAGCUAACGAAGCUAUAACUGACGCUCAUGCACGAAAGCGUGGGGAUCAAACAGG
rnacentral:rRNA from 1 species